AUGAAGAAAGAGAGCACUAUUUGCUGGUGCAAGAAACUGUCUGAGGAGCCCCAGGAGGCAGCUGGGUAUGGUCUGACUCUGGGAGCCUACGCCCUGACAGCCUAAAGGGCAAAGAGGAAGUGUGAGCUGAAACAUCUACACAACACGAAGCAUCCAAGCAAACCUUUUUACAGGGUCAGCAAAAAGCACCCAGUCAGCCAGGAUCAAAAGAGAGAGACGUAGAUCCUAUCCUGUGACAUUGCCAUGGGUUCCAUGCUCUUUAGUUGCCUGGCCUUUUGUCUCCUGGUAGCAGGUCCAGUCUACCCUAAAAUUAUCCAGAAACCAAAAUAUCUGGUGGCAGUCACAGGGAGUGAAAAAAUCCUGAUGUGCAAACAGCAUCUAGGACACAAUGCCAUGUACUGGUAUAGACAAAGUGCUAAGAAGCCCCUAGAGCUCAUGUUUUCCUAUAACUAUCAAGCACUUGUUGACAAUCAAACUGUCCCAAGGCGCUUUCAACCUCACAAUUCAAAGAACACCGACUUAGACCUUCAGAUCACAGCCCUGAAGCCUGAUGACGCGGCCACAUAUGUCUGUGCAAGUAGCCAAGACACAGCCCUGCAGAACCUCUUGCCUCCCUAUACACAAACCUCCUCAGUCUAUCCAGGAAACUGCUGA